UGAUCCAGCCAUGCCGCGUGAGUGAAGAAGGCCUUCGGGUUGUAAAGCUCUUUCAGACGGAAAGAAACGGUCACGGCUAAUACCCGUGACUAAUGACGGUACCGUAAGAAGAAGCACCGGCUAACUACGUGCCAGCAGCCGCGGUAAUACGUAGGGUGCGAGCGUUAAUCGGAAUUACUGGGCGUAAAGCGUGCGCAGGCGGUUUGGUAAGACAGACGUGAAAUCCCCGGGCUUAACCUGGGAACUGCGUUUGUGACUGUCAGACUAGAGUGUAGCAGAGGGGGGUAGAAUUCCACGUGUAGCAGUGAAAUGCGUAGAUAUGUGGAGGAAUACCAAUGGCGAAGGCAGCCCCCUGGGUUAACACUGACGCUCAUGCACGAAAGCGUGGGGAGCAAACAGGAUUAGAUACCCUGGUAGUCCACGCCCUAAACGAUGUCAACUAGGUGUUGGGGAAGAGAUUCUUUAGUACCGCAGCUAACGCGUGAAGUUGACCGCCUGGGGAGUACGGUCGCAAGAUUAAAACUCAAAGGAAUUGA
rnacentral:rRNA from 1 species